rnacentral:lncRNA from 1 species
CAGGCUCAGGAGGGAAUCCUCCUCAAGCAGGUAAUUUGGGGGGCCUUGGGAAGUCCAUCCAUGCUCAGGAAAUUCUAGUGCCCUCUUGGCCCAUUGAAAGCUCUUGGCUCACUGUCUAUGCAUGGUGAUAUGGCUUUUCUGCCCACUUAGGGCCUGUUGUCCACAAAUAUUGGCACAGCUGAGCUCACAUGCACACAAGUAUACUCUGGUCUGUCCACAACAACUUUGUGUCAUUGUUUAAAAAUGGUUGUGACUGUGGGUUGUGAGGGAUGGUUAACACCCAGGCAGGGGGCCCCAAAUGUGCAGAUAUAAUGACCCUCCAAGAAGGCAACUUAAAGGAAUAGGCCAGCAAAGGGGAACUGAACAACCAGGGGCCUGCCUAUUGGAGCUCAUCGUAGAAGCAGACAAGGAGAGGGAGAAGCCCCAGCCCACUAGGGCGAUCAGGGCAUCAUCUCAGGCCUGAGCUGCCUGUGGAAGCAGUGUGGCCCUGCAGACAGAGUGGCAGUUCUGGAAGCUGAGUCAUCUGCCUUCAAAUCUUGUACCAGCCCCUCUCACAAAACUCAGUGCCU